UACAGAGGUCUCGAGCGUUAGGCGGAAUCACUGGGCUUAAAGCGUGUGUAGGCGGAGUGCUAAGUACCUUGUGAAAUCCCACAGCUCAACUGUGGAACUGCUUGGUAUACUGGUUCUCUUGAGCCAUCUAGGGGCUACCGGAACAAAUGGUGGAGCGGUGAAAUGCGUAGAUAUCAUUUGGAACGCCAAUGGUGAAAACAGGUAGCUGGGGAUGUGCUGACGCUGAGACACGAAAGCCAGGGGAGCAAACGGG
rnacentral:rRNA from 1 species